GAUGAACGCUAGCGGCAGGCCUAACACAUGCAAGUCGAGGGGUAACUAGAGUGAUAGCAAUAUUACUUUGGCUAGACCGGCGCACGGGUGCGUAACACGUAUGCAACCUACCUUAUACUGGGGAAUAACUUCGAGAAAUCGGCGCUAAUACCCCAUAACAUUGCGAAGAGGCAUCUCUUUGCAAUUAAAGCUCCGGCGGUAAAAGAUGGGCAUGCGUCCAAUUAGCUAGUUGGUGAGGUAACGGCUCACCAAGGCUACGAUUGGUAGGGGUUCUGAGAGGAUGAUCCCCCACACUGGUACUGAGAAAAGGACCAGACUCCUACGGGAGGCAGCAGUGAGGAAUGUUGCGAAAUGGACGAAAGUCUGACGCAGCCAUGCCGCGUGCAGGAUGACGGCCCUAUGGGUUGUAAACUGCUUUUGUACGGGAAUAAACCCUUCUACGUGUAGGAGGCUGAAGGUACCGUAAGAAUAAGCACCGGCUAACUCCGUGCCAGCCGCCGCGGUAAAAC
rnacentral:rRNA from 1 species